UAUAUGUAUGUAUAUAUAUAUAUAUGUGUGUGUGUGUGUGUAAUUUUUCAUUGAGGGAAGAUCCUGGAACAAGUAUGAGGUAAAAUAAUGCUCCUCAGCACCCUGUGUAUCUAAUUACAGAUCCUCCUUUUUUCAGACCUUCUUGCUUAAUUCUUCUCCUACAAUAGGAAAAUCCCCCUCCAGCCAGAAUAUUCAAAUGAAGUGAGCUUCACGGCUCACACAAUUAGCCAUGUUUAGUAAUUUGAGAAAUGAAUGCCGCAGGGGCGAGAGGGAGGGGCAGGACAGACGGGGAGCAGACUGGCAGGGGAAGCCCACUAAAAUGGGUGGGUAUAAGCCUGGCGCUUUGUACCCGUGGCACAUGCAGAUGUCGCUGUAGUUCUUCCAAAAGCUUCCACUAAACGAACAGGAGGGAGGUAACGAAGAACUCGUUUGGCAUAAUAUGCCUCCACCGUGUGUUUCUAAGGUGUGUUACUGUGCAAGGUUGGUGGAGCGUGGGAAAAUUGCAACCAUGACCAGAAAAAACUGAAAUAGGUGAGAUCACUGCUAUGAGGGAGCCCUCCGAGCGUGAAUUAAUGAGAUUAUUAUAGUGACACAUAAGCAAGGCAAAGCAAUACCAGUGAGGUGUUCAUGUAUUCUGAAGCCUAUCAUAAGAUGUAGAUUAUGCAGAGUGCCGAUAUUAAUAUGCAUAGAGGCACUCGUUAUUACGCAGCUCAGCAUGCGGUAAUAUUGCAGUGCUGUUCUGCCAUGCCUCAGUUACUGUGUCAGAAUUUUAUUUUUGCAUAAACAAAGACAACCCUCAUUUCCUUGUCCUCCUAUUGAAAUGUUUACUUAUUGAUCAUAUCCCCAGGGGUCAAUUUGAAAAGAAAACAGUGAAUUUUAAGCAGCACGCUAUGCGAGUGACAGGAGUAAAACUGAUAAAGUCAAAGGAUAACGUGGCUCACACUUUCAGGGAUUUUACACAAGUGUAGUUUUCGUGGCCAGCACCUAGGAGGUGUAAGUAGCAAAUGUACUUGUACUCAUCUGUGGAGCCAAGGGUGUACUGGUCUUACAAUGAGCUGUGGUCAGGCACAGUGCUAAUGCAUUGCUGUCAUGAGGAGAAAGUCCAACAAAGAAGAAGUAAGUCCAACACAGACCCAGAGGCCCGUUGGUUGGUCUUUAUUUUUGAAUACCACUAUGUUUCUUGUUUGAAGAUGCAUAAAUGUUGCUUGCCCA